UGGGGAAUUUUGGACAAUGGGCGAAAGCCUGAUCCAGCAAUGCCGCGUGUGUGAAGAAGGCCUUCGGGUUGUAAAGCACUUUUGUCCGGAAAGAAAUCCUUGGCUCUAAUACAGUCGGGGGAUGACGGUACCGGAAGAAUAAGCACCGGCUAACUACGUGCCAGCAGCCGCGGUAAUACGUAGGGUGCAAGCGUUAAUCGGAAUUACUGGGCGUAAAGCGUGCGCAGGCGGUUUGCUAAGACCGAUGUGAAAUCCCCGGGCUCAACCUGGGAACUGCAUUGGUGACUGGCAGGCUAGAGUAUGGCAGAGGGGGGUAGAAUUCCACGUGUAGCAGUGAAAUGCGUAGGGAUGUGGAGGAAUACCGAUGGCGAAGGCAGCCCCCGUGGGCCAAUACUGACGCUCAUGCACGAAAGCGUGGGGAGCAAACAGGAUUAGAUACCCUGGUAGUCCACGCCCUAAACGAUGUCAACUAGUUGUUGGGGAUUCAUUUCCUUAGUAACGUAGCUAACGCGUGAAGUUGA
rnacentral:rRNA from 1 species